rnacentral:rRNA from 1 species
UACAGAGGGGGCAAGCGUUGUUCGGAAUUACUGGGCGUAAAGGGCGCGUAGGUGGCCUUCUAAGUUGAACGUGAAAUCCCUGGGCUCAACCCAGGAACUGCGUCCAAGACUGGGAGGCUUGAAUCCGGGAGAGGGAUGUGGAAUUCCAGGUGUAGCGGUGAAAUGCGUAGAUAUCUGGAGGAACACCGGUGGCGAAGGCGGCAUCCUGGACCGGUAUUGACGCUGAGGCGCGAAAGCUAGGGGAGCAAACGGG